CUGUGUGUGAUGGGUUGGCAGUGUAUUGUUAGCUGGUUAAGUGUGUGAACAGCACCAGCUAACAUGCAACUGCUUUCCUAUUGCAUAUACA
rnacentral:pre_miRNA from 1 species